rnacentral:lncRNA from 1 species
UGCCAUAGCCAGCUCAUUUCCUCGGAUGCUUUUGCCAGAAAACAUAUUGUUUCAUCAGAGCUUAGUUGACCAAGAUCUACUGUGUAGACAUUUCCUUCUCUUGUUCCGGUCAGCUUAUGGCAGAUGUCUUCAAAUCUCUGACUAGACAUUGGUUGUUGAGAAAUGUUACUUGGUGACCCUUGUCGCAGAGUUGGCUGAUACUUAGAAGGUUGUGUUGG